rnacentral:lncRNA from 1 species
AUGUAUAUGGUUUCUUCCUAUGAGCCAACAGGCUUCAAGAUAGUUGAGAAAGGGAGAAAGGUAUGCAAUAGGUAUAAAAGCCCAUAAUUUCUAAAACAGUCUCGUCAUUUUACUAGAUGGGGUUUCCUUUUAAUGAUAAGGGACUAUGAAGGGAAAGCCUACUAAGGUUUGCCUACACUCAAAAAGUGGUCAUCAUCUUCCUCAAAAGCAGACCAAUUUGGUGGUGAACUCACCUCUUGAAACCUCUAAAGUUGGGGGCAUGAUCAUGCAUCAAGAUAGAUAUAGGAGGAUUCAAUUGUACCUCUAGUAAAUUAUGAUACCAUAUAAGAAGAAAAGUUAAGGGUGUCCAAAAUCAUAGUAGAAAGUGGAACAGCUUCUUCGAAGAUCAUAGUCAAAAUAAACCACAAAUUACAAUAAUUAAGGAUGGUAAAACCUCCAACCAACGUACUAGAAGAGCAUUGGGUUCUAAAUAAAAAGUUAAAGGAGAUAUCUUCAUCAAAAGUGCUUGACGCUUUGUAAAAUGCUUUUACUAUGGUUGGUAUAGAUAAGGUACCACAAAAAGAGCCUUUACCAAAUGAUUAGCUAACACUCGAGCAUUUUAAGUUUUGAAACACGAUUGCUUUGGCUAAGUUUCCAAACUUGAUGAUGGAGAGUUUGAGAGCCAUCCUUAUUAUAAUGAUGAUUCUAUCUUGAACCUGUUCUUAAAUGAAAAUACAUAUGAUCCUAUUAAAGAAAUAACUAUUGUUGGCCUUAUUCCAUUAGAAUUAUGGGGCAAUGAGUCCCAACCUAAGGAUCUAGAAAGGGGUGUGUUUGUAGAAAAAUACAUAAUUGACAAUCUUAGUCAAAGAAAAAGAGACAUAAGGUAUGUUUU